GCACGUGAAAUCGGUAAGGUGGAAACGGAUAGAGUUAACGUAUCUGAUUUGUGUUCAGCUGUUAAUUGUUUGUAAUGUAUAAUUUUAAAAGUGUGUUAGUAGUUUACUGCCGUACAUUGCUUUUUAGUUUACAUCUGCAUCAAUUAGCGGUGCAUUUACAAAUCUAUGUGCGCUGGAACAUGUGCGUGGGUUGCUGGAUUCACAAGAAGAUCUUUACAAUUUAUUGUAUUGAGCAAACUUGUUGUCAUAAGGCAAUUCUGCGUGCAUGUCUAAUGAUUUUUUGGGGUAUGGCAUUAGCGAAUGCAUUUUGUGUAUGGUUUUGCAGCGUAUGUCGGUCGCUUGCGACACGUAUAUUGUUUU
rnacentral:rRNA from 1 species